rnacentral:rRNA from 1 species
GUCCACGCCCUAAACGUUGAAUACUCGGUCUUGGCGAUAUACAGUCAGGGCCCAAGCGAAAGCGUUAAGUAUUCCACCUGGGGAAGUACGUUCGCAAGAAUGAAACUCAAAAGGAAUUGACGGGGGCCCGCACAAGCGGAGGAGCAUGUGGUUUAAUUCGAUGAUACGCGAGAAACCUUACCUGGGCUUGAAUGUGAGUGACCGGUGCCGAAAAGGUACUUUUCCCGCAAGGGACACAAAACAAGGUGCUGCAUGGCUGUCGU